AUUAAUGCUUAAGAGGGCUAUGUGAUUGCCUACAGGGCUAGGGGACUAUCGAUAGGGGUAUAUAGACUGAUUGGCACCUUCCGGGCUUAUGGGGGCCUGAGUAGGUGGUCUUGUGUGCUGUUUGUACCUGUCGAGCUUAUGGGGGCUCUGUUAGGUUGUUGUUUUAUUAUUUUUGAUAAGUUUAGAUUUAGGAGCAGGUCAGUACACUUAUCUUAUCCUUGAUUUAUUUAUCGGAUUAUUCCAGUAUAUUAGGAUACUUGAU
rnacentral:lncRNA from 1 species